GGAAGUAUGGCGGCCGCUCGAACGCCGCGCGGCGGAGGCCAUUAAGGCGUGGACGGCCCGGAAGGCGGCCUAGGGACGCAAGCAGGCUUGGCCGCCUCUUUCGGCCACGGAGCCGCGCAGAUCCGGUUCCCGGGUGACCACUCUGUCGCCAUUGGGCGAGACCUACCUAGUCCUGACGACAACGGACAAAGGCCUUAAGGGGCCUGAAAGCAACCUCCAGUCCUGCAAGCUUCAUUCCUGAAUGGUAGAAAGCAGUCUUCAGCCUGAGACCCAUCCCUAGACUCUAUGGCACAAAGAGGCACUACAGAAAAUCCCAGAAUUUAUUCUGACUGAAGCAAUAUGCAACUGGCAAAACUGGCAGCUGAAAGGAUCCUGAAUAAGAAGGAUUUUAAAUGCCGUUUUGGCACAGGAUGUCAGAGCACAAGCAUGGUGAAGAGGAAUCUGUGUCAGGAAGAAGGUGGAAGAGAUAUGACAUUGGUCAAACAGAGAAUUGAUAAAAUAAGAAAACAAGUUGAAAAACUAAAACAAAACCAG